GUCCUGUUCUCCUUCACAAAUGAAGCAUCCACAGCACAAUUGGUGACUUCACAAAGGUCCCAUGGCUCCUAGGUGGGAAGCCGCCAGAAGGCAGAUCUGAUUCUAAAGCUGCUGUCUGCAUGCCAGGCUAGUACAGCUCUCAAUCUGGGAUCAGGAAAGAGAGGUACCACAUGUGGUCAAGGAGCUCCCACAUCCCCAGGAGUCCAAGGGUUGCCAUUCUUCCUCCUUCUGUCUCUGUGAUGUCACCACUACAAUGUUGUCAUAUUGUGAACUGUUCUGGGAUGUUAGCAGAGCUCAAAUCCUUAUGAACCCAAACUCCCAAGCCACUGGAUCCGGUGAGAUGGCUGGAACUCAGCAGGGUCAGCAUGAGGAACACCGCGAGGACUGCUGAAACACCACAUUCCCAUGGCUGCCGCAGGACAGCGGGGUGGCUGGAAGGCACAGUGUCUGUGAAACUGUGGUCCUCGGCAAGGGGUGUGACCUCAUGGUGGGUCGCCUGACCUAUGAGCAGAGAUGGAAGGAAGAAUGCCAAUUUGGAGGCAGAUGUGGGAAGUAGGAGUGCUGUGGCAACACGGUGUGGAAAUAGGGAGUUCUCUUCAGGCGUG
rnacentral:lncRNA from 1 species